AUAUUAUAAAGCAGGUGCGUCAAGCUCAUUCCAUUGAGGGCCUCGUGUCUGCGGGUUUUUAGUUUUUCCUUUCAAUCAAGACUUAGACAACCAGCUUGGGUUGGACGGACCUGAGAUGAGCUGUUUUGGAAUAAGCUGAAGGACCCACGCUACAUAAGUAGGACCUACAACUCCUUGACAGUACCAAAUGUGAUGGAAAAAAAUAUUCCCAUCCCCCUCUAUCAUGCUUGAUAGACAUUCCCAGUCUUCAAGUUGAAGGAUAACUGUGAACCUUCUGCACCAAUUUUCCGUAGCCACCCCAGGAAACCAGCUUUACCUGUAGGUGUAUUCUCUCCUCUUUUAUUUUGCCCUCUGCCUAUUCCUUUAUUUAUUUACUAAUUUCAAAAUCUCUCACACUAUCUCUACCCCCUGAGCCAAACAGUCUCGUUGUGGACAGUGAGCCGAAUCCCUCCAAUGAGACGAGUUUUCUGAAUCCACUGCUGUACAAUCUUGUUGUGGACAGUGAGUCUAAUCCAGCCAAUGGCAAUGAGACUACACAUGUGACUUCCCCUCAAAUCCCCCCUAUGAUAAUUCUUUGAUAUUUUCGACCCGGUGAUUUGUAUGUGUUUGUCUAAUUGGUACAAUGUGAGGAAGUCCUUAUUACUGUUCGCCUGGCAACCCAGAAUCGUUACUCUGGCCAAAAUCUACACCACUCCCACAGAUGUUAGUUUCUUCUCCACAAUAAAUCCGGAUCGGAGUACUUCCCCAACCCUUCACUGGAUGUGAACACAUUCGUGGCCGUCUGUUUGGGCCAGAGUCUGAACACACGUCGGUAAAGUGGUGGUUUGAAAAUUCGUCAUUGACUUUGAUACUCUGAUUGUUAGCGACGAUCCAAUCGCUGAUGACUUUAUUUUGUACAAUGCCCCUUGUGCCCCUCUUCACCACAAACAACUUCAAUGAUGGCAGUCUCAGACAGUAUGUAGCAAACGAUAGUGCAGCAGAAGAAGUGUGUCAGGCUAUAUUACCAAAGACUUUUUUAUAACUAACCCAAGAUAGAUCAGAACCUGUCGUUUGCAAUGGGAGCAAAUUAAUCAUAGUGGGCAGAACAAGCAUGGAGGUGGGCAGAGCCAAGCACAAGCUAGUGAGAUCCUAUUUGCGCGUUCCAGCAUUUUGCAUAUUUCCGUUAGGGAACUCCUACCCUUGCACUCUAAAACAAUGCAAAUCAAAAAAAUGCAGUCCACUCGGUGUGUUACAUAUUCUCGUUUUGGAAACAACUGUAUGGAGAUCAAAUGUUUCAUUGAUGAGGAAAUUAGCGGCCAAAAUGUCGGCCAAAAUCCAUCUCGCUCCAUCUUCUCCCACUGCCGGCCACUGUGUUUUCUCUCAUCACCAUAUUUGGUAGUGAGUGGAAACGCCAACCGGACGCUUCACAUUUAUACAUCUGGUGAAACAUCAGGCUCAUUGUUCUAUCCAUGAUAUUACUGUAUAGUUGUCAAUGUAUUGGUUCACUCUGAAAUGUUUUGGAGCACCAGCUUGUGCUAGCUGAUGUUUUGAAUAUGAAUACUGAUUUCUCA
rnacentral:lncRNA from 1 species